UACGGGGGGGCAAGCGUUGUUCGGAAUUACUGGGCGUAAAGGGCGCGUAGGCGGCCUUCUAAGUCGAACGUGAAAUCCCUGGGCUCAACCCAGGAACUGCGUCCGAUACUGGAAGGCUUGAAUCCGGGAGAGGGAUGCGGAAUUCCAGGUGUAGCGGUGAAAUGCGUAGAUAUCUGGAGGAACACCGGUGGCGAAGGCGGCAUCCUGGACCGGUAUUGACGCUGAGGCGCGAAAGCGUGGGGAGCAAACAGGG
rnacentral:rRNA from 1 species